AGAGUUUGAUCAUGGCUCAGAUUGAACGCUGGCGGCAGGCCUAACACAUGCAAGUCGAGCGGUAGCACAGAGAGCUUGCUCUCGGGUGACGAGCGGCGGACGGGUGAGUAAUGUCUGGGAAACUGCCUGAUGGAGGGGGAUAACUACUGGAAACGGUAGCUAAUACCGCAUAACGUCGCAAGACCAAAGUGGGGGACCUUCGGGCCUCAUGCCAUCAGAUGUGCCCAGAUGGGAUUAGCUAGUAGGUGGGGUAACGGCUCACCUAGGCGACGAUCCCUAGCUGGUCUGAGAGGAUGACCAGCCACACUGGAACUGAGACACGGUCCAGACUCCUACGGGAGGCAGCAGUGGGGAAUAUUGCACAAUGGGCGCAAGCCUGAUGCAGCCAUGCCGCGUGUAUGAAGAAGGCCUUCGGGUUGUAAAGUACUUUCAGCGGGGAGGAAGGGAGUAAAGUUAAUACCUUUGCUCAUUGACGUUACCCGCAGAAGAAGCACCGGCUAACUCCGUGCCAGCAGCCGCGGUAAUACGGAGGGUGCAAGCGUUAAUCGGAAUUACUGGGCGUAAAGCGCACGCAGGCGGUUUGUUAAGUCAGAUGUGAAAUCCCCGGGCUCAACCUGGGAACUGCAUCUGAUACUGGCAAGCUUGAGUCUCGUAGAGGGGGGUAGAAUUCCAGGUGUAGCGGUGAAAUGCGUAGAGAUCUGGAGGAAUACCGGUGGCGAAGGCGGCCCCCUGGACGAAGACUGACGCUCAGGUGCGAAAGCGUGGGGAGCAAACAGGAUUAGAUACCCUGGUAGUCCACGCCGUAAACGAUGUCGACUUGGAGGUUGUGCCCUUGAGGCGUGGCUUCCGGAGCUAACGCGUUAAGUCGACCGCCUGGGGAGUACGGCCGCAAGGUUAAAACUCAAAUGAAUUGACGGGGGCCCGCACAAGCGGUGGAGCAUGUGGUUUAAUUCGAUGCAACGCGAAGAACCUUACCUGGUCUUGACAUCCACAGAACUUUCCAGAGAUGGAUUGGUGCCUUCGGGAACUGUGAGACAGGUGCUGCAUGGCUGUCGUCAGCUCGUGUUGUGAAAUGUUGGGUUAAGUCCCGCAACGAGCGCAACCCUUAUCCUUUGUUGCCAGCGGUCCGGCCGGGAACUCAAAGGAGACUGCCAGUGAUAAACUGGAGGAAGGUGGGGAUGACGUCAAGUCAUCAUGGCCCUUACGACCAGGGCUACACACGUGCUACAAUGGCGCAUACAAAGAGAAGCGACCUCGCGAGAGCAAGCGGACCUCAUAAAGUGCGUCGUAGUCCGGAUUGGAGUCUGCAACUCGACUCCAUGAAGUCGGAAUCGCUAGUAAUCGUGGAUCAGAAUGCCACGGUGAAUACGUUCCCGGGCCUUGUACACACCGCCCGUCACACCAUGGGAGUGGGUUGCAAAAGAAGUAGGUAGCUUAACCUUCGGGAGGGCGCUUACCACUUUGUGAUUCAUGACUGGGGUGAAGUCGUAACAAGGUAACCGUAGGGGAACCUGCGGUUG
rnacentral:rRNA from 1 species